rnacentral:rRNA from 1 species
UGCAGUCGAGCGGAACGACACUAACAAUCCUUCGGGUGCGUUAAUGGGCGUCGAGCGGCGGACGGGUGAGUAAUGCCUAGGAAAUUGCCUUGAUGUGGGGGAUAACCAUUGGAAACGAUGGCUAAUACCGCAUAAUGCCUACGGGCCAAAGAGGGGGACCUUCGGGCCUCUCGCGUCAAGAUAUGCCUAGGUGGGAUUAGCUAGUUGGUGAGGUAAUGGCUCACCAAGGCGACGAUCCCUAGCUGGUCUGAGAGGAUGAUCAGCCACACUGGAACUGAGACACGGUCCAGACUCCUACGGGAGGCAGCAGUGGGGAAUAUUGCACAAUGGGCGAAAGCCUGAUGCAGCCAUGCCGCGUGUAUGAAGAAGGCCUUCGGGUUGUAAAGUACUUUCAGUUGUGAGGAAGGGGGUAGCGUUAAUAGCGCUAUCUCUUGACGUUAGCAACAGAAGAAGCACCGGCUAACUCCGUGCCAGCAGCCGCGGUAAUACGGAGGGUGCGAGCGUUAAUCGGAAUUACUGGGCGUAAAGCGCAUGCAGGUGGUUCAUUAAGUCAGAUGUGAAAGCCCGGGGCUCAACCUCGGAACUGCAUUUGAAACUGGUGAACUAGAGUACUGUAGAGGG